rnacentral:rRNA from 1 species
AUUGAACGCUGGCGGCAUGCUUUACACAUGCAAGUCGAACGGCAGCGCGGGCUUCGGCCUGGCGGCGAGUGGCGAACGGGUGAGUAAUGCAUCGGAACGUGCCCAGUAGUGGGGGAUAGCCCGGCGAAAGCCGGAUUAAUACCGCAUACGACCUGAGGGUGAAAGCGGGGGACCGAAAGGCCUCGCGCUAUUGGAGCGGCCGAUGUCGGAUUAGCUAGUUGGUGGGGUAAAGGCUUACCAAGGCGACGAUCCGCAGCUGGUCUGAGAGGACGACCAGCCACACUGGGACUGAGACACGGCCCAGACUCCUACGGGAGGCAGCAGUGGGGAAUUUUGGACAAUGGGGGCAACCCUGAUCCAGCCAUGCCGCGUACGGGAAGAAGGCCUUCGGGUUGUAAACCGCUUUUGUUCGGGAAGAAAUCCUCUGGGCUAAUACCCCGGGGGGAUGACGGUACCGGAAGAAUAAGCACCGGCUAACUACGUG